rnacentral:rRNA from 1 species
UACAGAGGUCUCAAGCGUUAUUCGGAAUUAUUGGGCGUAAAGGGCGCGUAGGCGGCUUUGCAAGUGACGGGUGAAAGCCCUCGGCUUAACCGAGGAACUGCCUGUCAGACUGUAAGGCUUGAGACCAGGAGAGGUGAGUGGAAUUCCCAGUGUAGCGGUGAAAUGCGUAGAUAUUGGGAGGAACACCAGUGGCGAAGGCGGCAUCCUGGACCGAGAUUGACGCUGAGGAGCGAAAGCUAGGGGAGCAAACGGG